rnacentral:rRNA from 1 species
UACGGGGGGGGUAAGCGUUGUUCGGAAUUACUGGGCGUAAAGGGCUCGUAGGCGGCCAACUAAGUCAUACGUGAAAUCCCUCAGCUUAACUGGGGAACUGCGUGUGAUACUGGAUGGCUUGGAUUUGGGAGAGGGAUGCGGAAUUCCAGGUGUAGCGGUGAAAUGCGUAGAUAUCUGGAGGAACACCGGUGGCGAAGGCGGCAUCCUGGACCAACACUGACACUGAGGAGCGAAAGCCAGGGGAGCGAACGGG